rnacentral:rRNA from 1 species
AUUGAACGCUGGCGGCAGGCUUAACACAUGCAAGUCGAGCGGAGAUGAGGUGCUUGCACCUUAUCUUAGCGGCGGACGGGUGAGUAAUGCUUAGGAAUCUGCCUAUUAGUGGGGGACAACAUUCCGAAAGGAAUGCUAAUACCGCAUACGCCCUACGGGGGAAAGCAGGGGAUCUUCGGACCUUGCGCUAAUAGAUGAGCCUAAGUCGGAUUAGCUAGUUGGUGGGGUAAAGGCCUACCAAGGCGACGAUCUGUAGCGGGUCUGAGAGGAUGAUCCGCCACACUGGGACUGGGACACGGCCCAGACUCCAACGGGGGGCAGCAGUGGGGAAUAUUGGACAAUGGGCGGAAGCCUGAUCCAGCCAUGCCGCGUGUGUGAAGAAGGCCUUUUGGUUGUAAAGCACUUUAAGCGAGGAGGAGGCUACCUGGAUUAAUACUCUAGGAUAGUGGACGUUACUCGCAGAAUAAGCACCGGCUAACUCUGUGCCAGCCGCCGCCGUAAAAC